GACGUAGGGCGCGAGCGUUGUCCGGAUUUAUUGGGCGUAAAGAGCUCGUAGGCGGCUUGUCGCGUCGACUGUGAAAACCCGUGGCUCAACCAUGUGGUCUGCAGUCGAUACGGGCAGGCUAGAAUUCGGUAGGGGAGACUGGAAUUCCUGGUGUAGCGGUGAAAUGCGCAGAUAUCAGGAGGAACACCGGUGGCGAAGGCGGGUCUCUGGGACGAUAUUGACGCUGAGGAGCGAAAGCGUGGGGAGCGAACAGG
rnacentral:rRNA from 1 species